rnacentral:rRNA from 1 species
GAUGAACGCUGGCGGCGUGCCUAAUACAUGCAAGUCGAGCGAGCAGAUGAGGAGCUUGCUCCUCUGACGUUAGCGGCGGACGGGUGAGUAACACGUGGAUAACCUACCUAUAAGACUGGGAUAACUUCGGGAAACCGGAGCUAAUACCGGAUAAUAUAUUGAACCGCAUGGUUCAAUAGUGAAAGACGGUUUUGCUGUCACUUAUAGAUGGAUCCGCGCCGCAUUAGCUAGUUGGUAAGGUAACGGCUUACCAAGGCAACGAUGCGUAGCCGACCUGAGAGGGUGAUCGGCCACACUGGAACUGAGACACGGUCCCGACUCCUACGGGAGGCAGCAGUAGGGAAUCUUCCGCAAUGGGCGAAAGUCUGACGGAGCAACGCCGCGUGAGUGAUGAAGGUCUUCGGAUCGUAAAACUCUGUUAUUAGGGAAGAACAAAUGUGUAAGUAACUAUGCACGUCUUGACGGUACCUAAUCAGAAAGCCACGGCUAACUACGUG